rnacentral:rRNA from 1 species
AUUGAACGCUGGCGGCAUGCUUUACACAUGCAAGUCGAACGGUAACAGGGAGCUUGCUCCGCUGACGAGUGGCGAACGGGUGAGUAAUGCGUCGGAACGUGCCGAGUAGUGGGGGAUAACGCAUCGAAAGGUGUGCUAAUACCGCAUACGUACUGAGGUAGAAAGUGGGGGACCUUCGGGCCUCACGCUAUUCGAGCGGCCGACGUCUGAUUAGCUAGUUGGUGAGUUAAAGGCUCACCAAGGCGACGAUCAGUAGCGGGUCUGAGAGGAUGAUCCGCCACACUGGGACUGAGACACGGCCCAGACUCCUACGGGAGGCGGCAGUGGGGAAUUUUGGACAAUGGGCGCAAGCCUGAUCCAGCCAUGCCGCGUGUCUGAAGAAGGCCUUCGGGUUGUAAAGGACUUUUGUCCGGGAGCAAAUGCCUGGUGUUAAUAGCACUGGGAGCUGAGAGUACCGGAAGAAUAAGCACCGGCUAACUACGUGCCAGCCGCCGCAGUAAUAC